rnacentral:piRNA from 1 species
UUAAAGGUCAGAAGCUAGGCACAGCCUC